UACGAAGGGGGCUAGCGUUGUUCGGCAUCACUGGGCGUAAAGCGCACGCAGGCGGAUCGAUAAGUCGGGGGUGAAAGCCCGGGGCUCAACCUCGGAAUUGCCUUCGAUACUGUCGGUCUCGAGUCCGGGAGAGGUGAGUGGAAUUCCUAGUGUAGAGGUGAAAUUCGUAGAUAUUAGGAAGAACACCAGUGGCGAAGGCGGCUCACUGGCCCGGUACUGACGCUCAGGUGCGAAAGCGUGUGGAGCAAAUAGG
rnacentral:rRNA from 1 species